GACGAACGCUGGCGGCGUGCUUAACACAUGCAAGUCGAGCGGUAAGGCCCUUUCGGGGGUACACGAGCGGCGAACGGGUGAGUAACACGUGGGUGACCUGCCCUUAGCUCUGGGAUAAGCCUGGGAAACUGGGUCUAAUACCGGAUAUGACUCCAUGACGCAUGUUGUGGGGUGGAAAGCCUUGUGCGGCUAGGGAUGGGCCCGCGGCCUAUCAGCUUGUUGGUGGGGUGAUGGCCUACCAAGGCGACGACGGGUAGCCGGCCUGAGAGGGCGACCGGCCACACUGGGACUGAGACACGGCCCAGACUCCUACGGGAGGCAGCAGUGGGGAAUCUUGCGCAAUGGGCGAAAGCCUGACGCAGCGACGCCGCGUGAGGGA
rnacentral:rRNA from 1 species